UAUGAUCCAGAGUACCACGGGACACGUGAAACCCUGUGGGAAGCAGGAGGGACCACCCUCCAAGGCUAAAUACUACCUAGUGACCGAUAGCGUAUAGUACCGUGAGGGAAAGGUGAAAAGAACCCCGGGAGGGGAGUGAAAUAGAACCUGAAACCCUGCACUUACAAGCUGUGGAAGCACAUUUCUUGUGGGACCGCGUACUUUUUGUAGAACGGGCCAACGAGUUACGUUAAGUAGCAAGGUUAAGCACGUAAGGUGUGGAGCUGUAGCGAAAGCGAGUUUUAACUGAGCGUUCAGUUACGUGACGUAGACCCGAAACCGGGCGACCUACCCAUGAGCAGGAUGAAGCGAAAGUAAAAUUUCGUGGAGGUCCGAACCCACGAGCGUUGAAACGCUCGGGGAUGACUUGUGGGUAGCGGUGAAAUUCCAAUCGAGCCCGGAGAUAGCUGGUUCUCCCCGAAAUAGCUUUAGGGCUAGCCUCAAGGUGAGAGA
rnacentral:rRNA from 1 species